rnacentral:tRNA from 1 species
GGGGUUGUGGCUCAGUGGUAGAGCGCUUGCCUAACAUGUGUGAGGCACUGGGUUUGAUUCUCAGCACCA